rnacentral:misc_RNA from 1 species
GACAGAGGGUGCGAGCGUUAAUCGGAAUGACUGGGCGUAAAGGGUGCGUAGGUGGUUGAUUAAGUGAGAUGUGAAAGACUUGGGCUUAACCUGAGGAAGCCAUUUCAGACUGGUUAACUAGAGUACAAUGAAGGGUAGAGGAAUUUCCGGUGUAGCGGUGAAAUGCGUAGAUAUCGGAAGGAACCCCGGUGGCGAAGGCGUCUACCUGACUUGAGACUGACACUGAGGCACGAAAGCGUGGGUAGCGAACAGG